UUCUAGGGCCGCUUCCCACAGCAUAUGGAGGUUCCCAGGCUAGGGGUCCAAUCAGAGCUGUAGCCACCGGCCUACGCCAGAGCCACAGCAACACAGGAUCCGAGCCGUGUCUGCAACCGACACCACAGCUCACGGCAACACUAGAUCCUUAACCCACUGAGCAAGGCCAGGGAUCGAACCCACAACCUCAUGGUUCCUAGUCGGAUUCAUUAACCACUGCACCAUGACAGGAACGCCAGGGGGUGACUUGGUUUUAAUGAGCCACUCAUUGACCUCUCAUGGCUGAACCGUGAAAUGCAUUUUCCAUCUCUCCUUCCUUUCUGGGUCCCUCAUCUUCUUCCAGUCUCUUUCUGAUUCCCACUAACCUGGGACCUCAUGGUGGCCCCAGUGGGAGCCACAGGGGAUUGGAGGCUGAGUUUGUCUCAGCAGAGAGGUGAGUGCCCCUUUGAUAAAAGACCAGCAGGCUCCCAUGGCUCUCCACAGAAAAGCCCCAAGACACAAACGCUGUGCACGGUUUCCUCAAAUAGAUGCCAGGCUUGUGGAUGCCAGGGACUGGGUCUUGGGAGCCACAAGGGGAUCUGUGACAAGUGGCCCGAGAGACUAGAACUGGAUCUGUUUUUCAAAGAGAGCAAUUCUCAAGUACCCAUUAUGUUCUGGGUGUUGUUGUAUCUUCACCGAAUCAUCGCAACAACCCUAUUUCACAGACAGGAAAACUGAGAACAUUUUCUAAACAGUGGUUUCUAUUCCCUCUAAAAAAACAAAAUGAGAAGAGAAGGCUUUAGGCACAAUUCAUGGAAAGGUCUAGUUCUGGAAAUACUGGGGUGGGGCUGGGGUGCCGUGCUCUGAUGUCACCCAACAGGCUCACUUUACAGAUGGGGAAACUGAAGCCCAGAGAGGUGCCUGGGCAGGUGGAGAGGCACGGCUGAGGGGCUGGAACCCUGUCUUCUGAAAGCACACAGAGUGCUGAGCAUCCCUGGCCAAGGCUGACAUCCAUUGCACACAGCCCAGAGAGGCGGCCAACAGAAGUAGUUCUACGCAAAACCUCCUGGUGCACAUAUACCUUAGGAAAUAAAGACUGUGGGUCUGGGGACUUGGUUCUGUCUCUUACUGGCAGCCUGGGGUGAACAACCCUUCUACACUCCAGCGUCCUCAUACAUAAAAUGGGAACAAUACAAAUACGUUUUCCCUUAAAGUAUUGUUGUGAGGAUUAAGUGAGAUGAUCCAUGUAAAAUGCUUAGCGCACCACAUGGUGCAUAUAAAGUGCUCAAGUAUUGUUGACUUGGGUUAUCUCGAUAGGCUAAAAAAGUGCUCUGGAUGCUUCUGUAACAACAUGAAGCAGAUGUAAGAUGCCUUUCCAAUGGCAUUUUAGGCCAACGCUGUUUUCUUCAGUUUAGAAUCUUCUGGGAAUAAGUUUAGAGGAAAUUUGCUUGCAUCAGAAUUUUUAGUCUUAAGGGAAAAACAGGUGAUGAUAUGAUGGGAAUAAAAAGGGUCACUGGGGCUCAAAACAUCUCUCAGUUAUUAGUUGUAUGGCCUUAGAAAUAACAGUAAUAAUGGUCAGCAGCCAACACUUAUUGAAUACUUUGUGCCAAGACCUUGUUCCGAUUUACAUAUAUAAUCCAUAUAUUUAUUGUCAUUAUUCAGAUCAUAUACUCCUUAAAUUUUUACCAUGACCCCUGUGAGGAAAGCAUCAGGUAUUUUCUUCAUUUAUCUCUCCCAGCCUCAGUUUCUCCAUCUGUGAGAUAGGCCAGUGCACAAUGGCCCACCCCAUGGGGUUCCCAUCCAACCCUCAUCCAUCCAUCAUUCAUCAACCAUCCAUCCAUCAUUCAUCCAUACAUGUAUGCAUCCAUCUGUUUAUCAGGAAUACCCAGAAGACAAAAUAUGUGAUGCUGCUUCUUAGACACAAAAUCCUAGAAAACGACAAGCUGGUCAGUGUACACACCACAGACCACACACUCGCCAUUCUUAGGAGCUCCAGCCACAGAGAAGGCCCUGUAGCUACUGCAGGAAGGACAUCCCAAUUCCAAGGUGUGGCACUUGCCCCAAGGGAAUAGCUGUUGACUCUUGAGAGCACACAUCUAGAAUAACAGGCAUGUCUUACUUUUCAACUCUCUUCCACAUGUCCUUUGCCUCAAAGGACUACUGUUCAAAAUCAGAAGGGAAAAUGUUUGUUCAGAAAUUAGCCCGGGUCCAUUUUAGUUUAGAUUUGUCCCUGUUGCUUUGUGCCAAAUGACCUGAAUCCUCCAAGAAAGUUACCAGAGAAAGAAAAUUCACUCUCAGAUGGGGACAAAGUUGAGGCAAAUAGUCCUUCAGGUUGGUAUGAUUUAUCCCUUGCAAGAGACAUGGCCGAUACAAGCAGCCAAAUCAGCAAAGUCAUUUUACAAAACCCACAAAGUGCUUACCAAAACACAGGCCAUUAAUUUCCCUUGGUGUUGAAUGGGCAAGACAGAGGACCUGGCUUGAUGAGGAGGGAGAAGACUGGAGAGAAGGGGACGUGGCCCAGAAAGGUAUCGUGGGGCCCUCAGUGAAGAAAGGCAAAGCGGAGGAUCAUGAAAGCCUCUCCCUUCACUGUUCCCAUGUGGAAACCACCUGGGCGGAUGCUCAUACUGCCACUACCCAGUGUGAGCGGCUGGGAAGGAGCGUGGGUCUGUGACUAGUGGGGGGGAUCCACUUUGAGCUCACAGAAUUGUUAGUGACAUUAAAUAAGAUAAACUGCUCCCAAAAUAGGAUAACUCGGUGUUCCCCAGACUUAGGGGUAUCCUGGGCCAGUAAAAUUAAAAAAAGCAAAACCCAAUCCAACAAAGAAACAAAAAACAUUAGGUAAAGCAAUCUAGUGUUGCCAAAUAGAAACAUUAAAAGAAAAAGAAAAGACCUUCCUCUAGCAUCAGCAUCAUAGAAGAAAGUCCAUUUUAGCACAGAAAGGGUGGGAAGGUUGAAAUCCCAGGACAAAGGGGCCUCCUCUUCUCUUAAGGCUAUGGAAAGCUCCCCACCACCAUCCAAUUUGCCUCGGACCAGAGAACCUUGCUGAGGACCAGCACUGGCCUCAUGUGGUUGCCAGGAAACCACUAAGAUGAAGUAGUUCGCACACGGAGGGAGUCUGGUGUCUAUUAGUGCCCUGCCUUGUUUGUCACACUCUGCUAUGCUGUUAAGGUAUUUGCUGCACAUUCUUCCCCUGGUGGUGGGCUUUGUGUGGGCAGCACUCAGGUGCUGGAUAGAGGAGGUGCUUAAUGAACGUGGAGUGAACUGGCGAAGAACAUUCUAGAGAGAGCAGACGCCAGUCCCAGAGAUCAUGCAGAGAUUAAAACUAAGGGAGGGGGCCAACCCCCUGCCUCCACAUACCAAACCACCCCUGCCACCUGCCACCUGCCACCUGCCACGCACAGAGGAUUCUAUCCUCAUACUGCAGAAGGGACACAAAGGCUCUGGGCACAAACUGCAAAAAAUAAUGUUCAUGUCAAAACAAUGGGAGCUUUCGUUUAGAAAGGGUAAAGCAGGAAAGGACCUGGGAGGGAGGUAACUCUCAGUUAUGACUAUUUAUCAUGCAGAAGAGGAUACACCUCUGAUUCUUGAAUGAGGCCCCUUUAAGAUCAAUUGGAGGUGCAACAUCCAAUCCACAGGGUGAGCCAAGGCUACUGUGGAACCUUGUAUCAUCAUCCUCUGACAAUUACUGAGCACUCACACAGUAUAACUAAGAUAAAUGCAUGAAUGGAUGAUGGAUGAAUAGAUAAACGAAUGCAUACAUGGAUGGGUGGAUGAACAGUUGGAUGGAUGAAUGAAUGAAGGAUGGUUGGAAGAAUAGAUGGAUGGAUGGAUGGAUGGGUGGGUACAAAGAUAGAGAAAAACAGAUAUAGCUAUAUAUCUCCACAUCUCAGUCUCUCCUUACAAAAACUACUACUUUCGCUAUUUUAUAGAUGAGGAAACUGAGGGUUCUGAAGUUUGUCACUUGAUCUAGUUACUCAAGUCACUUGAGCAACUUUGAACUCUCUACCUUUUGAUGAUUAAACUGUGUGAAGCACAUGCAUAAAACUCUUCUGGGAAUCACCCUCAGAGACAGAAGUGGCUUUGCACCUGCAGACAUCAAUACUGUAUGAAGAGAAAGAGAAGGGCAGCAAAAUCCACUCCUGGAGGAAAAUCAUUCACUUAAUUAUGGGAAAGGUCAUGGUCCGAUCAUUCUCACCUAGUUAUGAAUUAAAAGAUGCUCAAACCCAUUUUAGAAAAGGCUUUGGGAGUUCCCAUUGCGGCUCAGUGGUUAAGGAACCCAACCAGUAUCCAUGAAGAUGGGCAUUCAAUCCCUAGCCUCGCUCAGUGGGUUAAGGAUCUGGCAUUGCUGUGAGCUGCGUGGUAGGUUGCAGACGCAGCUCGGAUCCCGCACUGCUGUAGCUGUAGUGUAGACUGGCAGCUGUAGCUCUGAUUUGCCACCUAGACUGGAACCUCCAUAUGCCGCAGGUAUGGCCCUAAAAAGACCAAAAAAAAAAAAAAAAAGAAAGAAAGAAAGAAAAAGAAAAAAAGAAAAGAAAAGUUUUUGCUGAGUCUUUGCAGAAUUGUUGCCCCUGAGGCUUUCAGAAGGCCUGUUCCAGAUCUUCAGUUCUUUCUAACCAGAUGCUUUCAAGUCAAAAUAGGAAUGUUUCUUUUAGAAUAAGAAUGGAAACAGCACAGGCCUUGGGGUGGUGGUGGGGUGGGGAUUCUGGCUGAGCCACUUGCUGACUGUGUGAUCCCUGGAAGGUUCCUUAGCUUCCAGGAGGCUCAGAGUCUGAUCUGCAAAAUGCGGAUAGAGAGAUCUCUAUAUCACUGGACUGUUCAGAGAGCAACAUUCAUAAAUAAUCUCACAACAAGUCAUGCUGUGAAGGAAAGCUUCCUGGGCUUUGAGUACCAUGAGGCAGGCCCUUGGGGCUACCACAUUAGCCACUCUCCCCUUGCUGAUUCCCAGGACUCACAUGCUCCAGCAGCUGUAAGAGGACCAGACCAGCCACUGCAUCCAUCCAGGAGAGGGCCUUGGCCCCCUGGCUGCUCCAGCUGUGGUUUUUUUGACCCACUGCCAAGACACCUCUGUAGGGCCCUCAGGCUUUAUCUCAACAGCCUGUUCUAUUAGCACCCAACUCACAUUUAUUUCUCCUGGUCCUCCAUGCCAUUCCUCUGCCUGAAGCCUGAUACAAACAGCAGGAUGGGAAGUCCCCAAGAAGAUCCAUGAAAAUGAACUUCCACUUUUCAAAGAACUACCAUACCGAGUGCGGGUCCAUUCCCGUGAUGCAUGGGUCCAGUGCCAAAAGCCAGCAUGGGAAGUCACCAGAAAGUCGCCAUGGCCUCCCUGUGACUGUACUUACAAGGUGCUCAGCCCACAUCUGAUAAUCACGGAACCUGAUAUUUCCCUUCCUCUGACACUGAGGCAGAAGGAUGGAGAUUUUCCAUCUUCCCAUGUCUCGAGCAGAUGAACCCAGUGAAGUUAAAUUCCCCAGGAUCACACAGCAGCUCACACUCAAACCUCAAUACCCUGAGACCACAUUCAUCUGAGGAAAAAGGGGUGGUGGUGAUGGGUUUUCAUUACAUGUAACAGAUCCAACAUCAACAUAGGGUCAUGGGUUCCGGGAAAACGUCCCCAUGGAGUAUUUCUCUUAAUCUUCCAACAAUGCUACCUUCCUCCCCCCCCCCCCCCCCCGUAAGGUUGAGAAAAUUAAAGCUCAGAGAGGUCAUGCGACAGAAAGCAUGAAAGUCAAGAUUUGAACUCAGGCCAUUCUGACCCUCGUCUGUUUUACUGGCUGGCUCUUAGAAGAUUUUGAUGAAUCCUAUUCGGUUGGAGAGAGGGG
rnacentral:lncRNA from 1 species